UACGGGGGGUGCAAGCGUUGUUCGGAAUUAUUGGGCGUAAAGAGCGUGUAGGCGGCUUGAUAAGUCAGAUGUGAAAGCCCUGGGCUUAACCCAGGAAGUGCAUUUGAAACUGUCUUGCUCGAGUAAGGAAGGGGGAAGUGGAAUUCCUGGUGUAGAGGUGGAAUUCGUAGAUAUCAGGAGGAACACCGGUGGCGAAGGCGACUUCCUGGUCCUAUACUGACGCUGAGACGCGAGAGCGUGGGUAG
rnacentral:rRNA from 1 species